UCCCCAGAUCCGUCAUUGUAGGGUCUGUGGAUGUCCUUACCUGUCUGUCCUUUGCUCAUUAAAACCCCAUUUGCCCGUGGACAUCAGGAGUAUGGAGAAGGCUUGCCAGUGUGUAAUCCUGCAGAAGAAUUCAUCAGGUGUGACAUGGAUGGUAGAUGUUGCCCCCCUCUAGGUCAGGUAACGUGUUUUAUUCAAGACAACCUACAACUGCCAAAAUAAGGUAGAAGUCAGAUCUGCAAGUACCAGAAUAUCUCCUAAAACAGAGAGAGAUGUAUGUGACUGAAGUGGUGUGCUGAUGAAAAAGUACCAGGGUCACUUGAAGCCAGGAUUGAGAACAGGCACAACCACAAUCUGUUUGUUGCAGAUGCUUUCUGUUAGAGAGAUGUGGGGUAGAAGACCAUACAGGUGUUAACACACCUUUUUGAUAUAAUUCAUACUCUCACAUGUAUUCUGGCUGUUUAUAUGAACAACAUUCAAACUGAGUAUAGUGAGACAUACAGCAAUAGCUUGGGACUCACCCAGGACAGAGAACUGCUGCAGAGUGGAUCCACGCGUUUGUCCACCCCGCCGACGUUGCUGCUGUGACGCUGCUGCUGCAAGCCCUGUCUUUCUGCAUUGAGUUUACCAAAG